CCUUUAAUGUCCUUUAUAACAAACUGGUAAUCUAGUAAGUAAACUGUUUUCCUGAGUUCUGUCAGCUGCUCUAGCAAAUUAAUUGAACCUGAGGAGGGGGUCCUGGGUUCCUUUAAUUUACAGCCAGUUGGGCAGAAGCACAGGUGACAACCUGGACUUGGGAUUGGCAUCUGAAGCGGAGGCAGUCUCAUGGGACUGAGCCCUUACCCUGUGGAAUCUGACGCUAUCUCCCGUAGACAGCAUCAGAACUGAGCUGAAUUACAGGAUACCCUGCUGGUGACUUGAGAAUUGCUUGGUGGUGUGGGGAAAAAAACCACACACUGGAACUGGUGAUCAGAACUGCACCCGCCUUCGUCAUCUUCCACUUUUCCCUUUGCCAUCACUCCAUGACAUCCUGGGCAGACUGCAUCACUUCCUAUUCACUUUCGGAUACUAAAAGAAGACCAUCUAAGACUUCAAUUUCAAACUCUACGCCUGGCUCCCUCAGGAUCGGAGUCAGGAAGAAAGGGAAGGAAAGAGACAGCUGUGGCCCCCGCUCUGUUGACUGCUCUGCUUCUCCGGCGAUCUGAGUGUGCAUGCCAGCAUCUGAACUCUGCCUCAUGGGGAACACAUGUGAAAUUUAGCCAGACGGGUCUUCCCAGUGUGCAGUCCCCCAAUACGGAAGAUUCAGCUCUAGCUGGACCUCUCCCACCCACCCCUCAACUAGCCCAAUAAUAUACCCAAAUCGUGGUGCACAGUCUUUGGGGUUGUGGGGGGCGUAUAGCCAGGUAGCUCAAGGAUAGCUGCCUUCCUUACGUCCUCUGGUCCUAAGGAAUUUCCUGCACCCUGGUCAUGCGACAUAAUAGGCGGGCAAGCUGGCUGCUCCACGGUCGCCAAUUCCACCGGGCCAGCCAGGUCUCCCCAGCUUCCAUCUUCUCGGCUCGGGGAGGAAUGGCAGCCCAGCAAGUCUGCUACCUAAGCAGAGGUGACCAGGCUCAGCCCUGAAAGCCACUGUCAGAGCCUCUUUCGUUACUAGGCAGUGGGAGUCAGGAGAAGUCCCUCCCCAGUGGGAGGGGAGGAACGGCCCACCUCACUUCUCCUCAGGCUUCUUCUGUAGACCCUGGACUGGGUGUUAAGGGGCAGGGGGUGUAGGUGGGGACUGAGGCCCAGCCCCUUAGAAAAACUUUGGAGAAAGUUUCAGAUCCCCAUUACCGUUUUUAGCUCUGGGCCUUCUUUCAAAUCCGGGGCAACAGAAAAAGCCCCCCUCCCCAUCCGAUCAUUCUCAUAAUCCUUAUCAUUUCGUUUCCCCAUCAGGUUGGAAUCCCUUUCUUCCUAAUUCUUUGAGAGCAGAUAGACUCUCACUUCCCUGGAUGGAUGAAAUGAGUUCUGACCUGCAAUCACUGAAAUGUGUCACAUGAAAUUUCAAGGUCCCUUAUAAAGAUCCCAUGAUAAUAUGACAUCAAGGAAAGAAGUAGGUUACAUGUAUGAAAUUAGGCAGACAAUUAAAAUGAAUUCAUUAUCCUUAUUUCUCAGUGAAUUAACGUUUUUCUCUCAAAAGUUCGUUUCUUAUUUACCAAAUAUUUAUUUCCUACAAGUUAGCAAUAACUGAAUCAUUCAUUUUCCCUUUCUUCUACUCCAUCUUCUGUUCAACUCUGUUUUGAUCAGCAUCUUUCUUGUGAAAACAGUUCCGGUCAAUGAAUUUGGCCACUAUAUAUGUUAUUUGUAACUUUAGACGCAGUUCAUCUGGGCAGGGUCUGGAAUUUACACCAUUUUCGGUAUGCAGAGCUCUAGUGAUAUCCAGGAACCUUUGCCCUGAAGGUGUGGCCAUGUGUGAUCAGCUCGUCCACAUCUUCAAAGGAAAAAACAAAAAUACUUGUUAGAAUCUUUGCAGAAGCAUCAAUUUAAUAGUAAAAUGCUGCCUCCUUCUGGAUAAACUAUGUUAGGGAUGAUAAGCUCGUGAAACGGCCGUAGAGAUAUGUCAUUUUAUGAAUAAACUUUUUUUAAAGAAUUAGAAUUCUACUUUUUUAAUGGAAAAAUAAAAUUAGAGGACUAGAGUUAACCUUGAAAGAUUACCUAGAUUCUGCCUUUGGGGCUGUAAAAUACCCAACUAUCUACCCUAACUGAUUUGGUUAUCUGACUUUCUUUCUAAUAUCUCUAAAUAGUAACUGGGAAAGCAGAAAAUAGAUGAUAAAAUUGGAAUUAGCACAAUUUUCACUUUUACAUUAGGCUACCUUACUUCACAUUUAAUUGGCAUUGCCAUUAACGCAUGCACACACAUUCAUACUACAAGCCUGGAAAAAUGUGUGUGUGUGUUAAUAAAUGCAGUGAAAUACCCAGGUGUUCCAGUCUUAAUUCUAUGGUCAAUAGUCUCAGGAACUUUGGCAAGCCACUUAAUCUCUCUGAGUCCCAG
rnacentral:lncRNA from 1 species